rnacentral:lncRNA from 1 species
CAAGAAUUUGGGGACUGGAGUGCAAGCAAGACUUGGCCCUGGCAGCUGAGUGGGUGGGCCAUCUUCCGCAGUGGGUAGUGUGCCCAGGCAGGGUGUUGCGGGUCAGAGGCCCCCAGCUUGCAAAGUGACCAAGAAGAAAACCCUGAGGCACUCUGUAAGAGUGUGUUAAGCACAUGCAUCAUUUCUAGUUAUUGUCAAGGGGUUGAUUUCAUUUGAAUGCUCAUUUUUUAUGCACUGAUGUAAUGUUGUAAUGUAUUCAUUAGAAUAUUUCAUAUGUGGAGCACAAGUUACAGUGAUACUUAUGUAAAUCAAAAUUAGUAAUUGAAUUGAAAUACUUAUUUUAACUAUUAAUUAAAACACCUUUCUACUUUAUUUAUCUUUUAGGCUCUUUGAAAUUGACAAAGACUCUCUCCUUUAACCAAAAUCUCAGGCUCCUCUGAGUCCUCAGCUUGGCCUGCUUUUGCUUCAAAAUCAAAUUCAUUCUUUGAAAUAUGAUGAAACAGUUUUGUCAAUAUGGAUGCAAAUGUGAAGGAUAAUGAUUUUUGGUGUUCAUUCAGUAAUUGGAAAGCUUAUGUUUCAAACAAUUUGGAGCAUUUCCAGUGACUAAAGAUGAGUGCUUCAGGGGAUCAUCCAAAGAGGUUCUGUGGGUUAGAGAGACUCCAGACACAAGAACUGGGCAAAGACUGAACUGGAUGUGAUUGCUGAAUUAUUUCUGUCCUUAUCUUGUCCAGAUGUUUCACAUCUUUCAUCAGAAAAUUUCUCCACUGUCCUUGAGCUAGUGUUUUCCAAAUGCCAGUUGAUAGAGCGGUGCUGAUCUGUGACAACAUUCUCACUGAUCUGUAGUCAUAUCAAAGAAUAGAAAAAGAAAAAUUCAGAUUUCUCAAGUGAGGUAUUCAUAAAACUAAAUUUUCUCAAUUUGAAGGAUUUUCUUUUACUCUAAAAUUAUGUCCUUCUACAUUCUGAUUUUCUUCAGAUCAUAUAAACCUUUAGGUUUUUACUAAAACUAUGUCCUUCACACAUAUUUUGAUGUUAAAAUAUCCUCAUUUUUAGUGGGAAGAUGGCAAAAAUGGAUGUUAGUUUUUAAAAAUAUCUUUACUUGGCCCAAUAAAGACUUGGCAACCCUAUGUUAGCUUCCUCUCCUCUUUUCAAGAAAAUCAUGUUAGCCUCUA